GAAGGUGGCCUGUGAGGGUUGCUGGAGGUAUCAGAAGUGCGAAUGCUGACAUAAGUAACGAUAAAGCGGGUGAAAAGCCCGCUCGCCGGAAGACCAAGGGUUCCUGUCCAACGUUAAUCGGGGCAGGGUGAGUCGACCCCUAAGGCGAGGCCGAAAGGCGUAGUCGAUGGGAAACGGGUUAAUAUUCCCGUACUUGGUGUUACUGCGAAGGGGGGACGGAGAAGGCUAUGUUGGCCGGGCGACGGUUGUCCCGGUUUAAGCGUGUAGGUGUGUGUUCCAGGUAAAUCCGGUUCACUUUAACACUGAGGCGUGACGACGAGGCACUACGGUGCUGAAGCAACAAAUGCCCUGCUUCCAGGAAAAGCCUCUAAGCAUCAGGUAACAUCAAAUCGUACCCCAAACCGACACAGGUGGUCAGGUAGAGAAUACCAAGGCGCUUGAGAGAACUCGGGUGAAGGAACUAGGCAAAAUGGUGCCGUAACUUCGGGAGAAGGCACGCUGACAUGUAGGUGAAGUGAUUUACUCACGGAGCUGAAGUCAGUCGAAGAUACCAGCUGGCUGCAACUGUUUAUUAAAAACACAGCACUGUGCAAACACGAAAGUGGACGUAUACGGUGUGACGCCUGCCCGGUGCCGGAAGGUUAAUUGAUGGGGUCAGCGCAAGCGAAGCUCCUGAUCGAAGCCCCGGUAAACGGCGGCCGUAACUAUAACGGUCCUAAGGUAGCGAAAUUCCUUGUCGGGUAAGUUCCGACCUGCACGAAUGGCGUAAUGAUGGCCAGGCUGUCUCCACCCGAGACUCAGUGAAAUUGAACUCGCUGUGAAGAUGCAGUGUACCCGCGGCAAGACGGAAAGACCCCGUGAACCUUUACUAUAGCUUGACACUGAACAUUGAGCCUUGAUGUGUAGGAUAGGUGGGAGGCUUUGAAGUGUGGACGCCAGUCUGCAUGGAGCCGACCUUGAAAUACCACCCUUUAAUGUUUGAUGUUCUAACGUGGACCCGUAAUCCGGGUUGCGGACAGUGUCUGGUGGGUAGUUUGACUGGGGCGGUCUCCUCCUAAAGAGUAACGGAGGAGCACGAAGGUUGGCUAAUCCUGGUCGGACAUCAGGAGGUUAGUGCAAUGGCAUAAGCCAGCUUGACUGCGAGCGUGACGGCGCGAGCAGGUGCGAAAGCAGGUCAUAGUGAUCCGGUGGUUCUGAAUGGAAGGGCCAUCGCUCAACGGAUAAAAGGUACUCCGGGGAUAACAGGCUGAUACCGCCCAAGAGUUCAUAUCGACGGCGGUGUUUGGCACCUCGAUGUCGGCUCAUCACAUCCUGGGGCUGAAGUAGGUCCCAAGGGUAUGGCUGUUCGCCAUUUAAAGUGGUACGCGAGCUGGGUUUAGAACGUCGUGAGACAGUUCGGUCCCUAUCUGCCGUGGGCGCUGGAGAACUGAGGGGGGCUGCUCCUAGUACGAGAGGACCGGAGUGGACGCAUCACUGGUGUUCGGGUUGUCAUGCCAAUGGCACUGCCCGGUAGCUAAAUGCGGAAGAGAUAAGUGCUGAAAGCAUCUAAGCACGAAACUUGCCCCGAGAUGAGUUCUCCCUGAGACUUAGAGUCUCCUGAAGGAACGUUGAAGACGACGACGUUGAUAGGCCGGGUGUGUAAGCGCAGCGAUGCGUUGAGCUAACCGGUACUAAUGAACCGUGAGGCUUAACCUUACAACGCCGAAG
rnacentral:rRNA from 2 species